AUGCACAAAAGCAGUUCCGGUUCACUAGGCCCAGAUGGCCUCGACCUAACCAAAGCCUUCUUCCUUCAUCGAUUUUUCGACCCAUCACCCAAGAAGAUUUCACAGAGAAGAAAAGGAGAAGAAGGAUUAACGAAAGUAGAGACUGAAAGAGGCGACAUACCUUUGAACUUUAUCAGAAUCAAAAAUCAGCGGAUUAUCUCUAGGUUAUCUGAUGCAAAGCAGUCCAGCGCGCUCACCUUGUAA